ensembl:lncRNA
GAAAUGGAAAUGAUAAACAACGGGCUCUCUUAUGUCAGCUGAGCACGAACCAGCUCCGUCCCUCUGUGCUGCAGUUCACCAUGCCAGCCUGGUCCCCGUGCUGGCUGAGCAGAACCGUGCAGCCUGGUCCGACAGCAACCCCCGUAGCGCAGCAGGGUCUUACAGCGGCCAGGUGACCUCUGCUCCCACCCCCCGUGCUUCUGGAAGAUGACACACGUUCCACUCCAACCUUUAAUGACAUUUUGCAGCCAAAGGCAACAAAGGAUAAAGGAUCACUGUGGGCAGCCCUGGAGCUGCUGGACCGAAGAUAAACAUGGAACCCAAAGCUUCACAGAGGGUAAAGCUUCACUCCUCUGCACUGCCACCAGUGCACCUGCAGGGAGCUCCAGCCUGCCCGUGUGGGUUGGCUUUGGCUGGGGCAGGUGGCUCCAUUUUCAGAGGACAGAAGGUGACCCCAAUGGCAGAGGUUCAGUGCUGUGCCUGUAGUGCAAGAACAGCACAGGGGUAGAGGGAGCGCUGGUGCUGCUCAUCACACAGACAGAAGAAAACCUCCAAGCCACCAGCACUUCCUCUGCAGCUUCCACAAAAGGAGGGCAGCCAAGGCAGGAGAAGUGGGGAGGCCGUUCUUCCUCCAGCCCAACCCCGAUGCGUGCUGAGCUUUUGGUUCUCCACACAACCACAGCGUGGCACGAAGCAUUACCAGCAUCUCAGACGUGGAAUGAGUUGGAGAGGACCUCAAUGACACCCACGUGCCAUCCCCAGCAGCAGGACACAGCAGCACCAGCUGCCUCCCCUGGGCCUCACCCCACUGAGCCCACUGGCAGCACAGCUUUGGCCCCUCGCUCAGCACAGCCCCAGCUCUGCAGAUCCCCCCAUGUAAGACA